UACUUUGAGUAUCUGAUCCACCAGAUGGUAUGCAAAGAGAGGAAGAAAAUAAAAUAUCUGUACGCUGAAGGGGAGAUUCAAGAGCAGGACAAUAGGGUCUGCAAUACUUGAAAUGAAGGUAUCAGCUGGGCUGUGUUCUUAUCUGGAAGCCAGACUAGAGAAGGAUCCAUUUCUCCAGCCUGUGACAGAUAUGUGUUGUCUCUGAAACUG
rnacentral:lncRNA from 10 species